UACGUAGGGGGCGAGCGUUGUCCGGAAUUAUUGGGCGUAAAGAGCGUGUAGGCGGUUCGGUAAGUCUGCCGUGAAAACCUGGGGCUCAACCCUGGGCGUGCGGUGGAUACUGCCGGGCUAGAGGGUGGUAGAGGCGAGUGGAAUUCCCGGUGUAGCGGUGAAAUGCGCAGAUAUCGGGAGGAACACCAGUAGCGAAGGCGGCUCGCUGGGCCAUUCCUGACGCUGAGACGCGAAAGCUAGGGGAGCAAACAGG
rnacentral:rRNA from 1 species